rnacentral:lncRNA from 1 species
UUUUAGCUACCCUCCACUGGCUAAAGGAUUAGAGGGGGGGCUAAAGUUUAGCCCACAAGAUUUAGCUGGGGUGUUUGGGAAGCUUGGUGACUAAAAUGGACUAAAGUGGGGGUGCUAAAGUUUAGCACCUCUCUCCCAAACACCCCCCAUGUCACCAACUUCCCCUACAAGUCAAUUUUCCCAACGGUUUUCCAUUUCCACCGUAUGGCACAUCCCCCUUUCCCUGGUGAUUUGGUCAUCCCUAGGAAUUGUGCCCUACAAAAAUUCUGUAAGGACUAUUUCCCUAAUGUUUUCCUCCCUUACCCUAGGAAUGUUUUCCUCCCUUACCCUAGGAAUCUAAGCUCUAGGGAAACUAGGAAGUUCUACUAGUGACUAACAGCACGGUAGCCCUGAUGUUUCCCUAGCUCUUGUUGAGAAGAAAAUAAACAAGCUUGGUGGUACGUAUUUGCUUCCACUAACCGCAUCGCCAUCACACCGCACUGCCCAAAGCAUAACAUCAUAAGGCAAGAAGUUUCAUGAUCCAAAAUUGAAUUUUCCUAGGCUAAGCCCAUAGAUCCAUUUCUCCUUUCCCUACACAAAUGCUACAAUGGUAUACAGAGGGAGAAUACUCAGUAUAGUGUAGAUGAAAUAAUGUAGAGCGAUGGGAAACUCCAAAGGUUGACCUCCCUUUGGACGUUACGUGACUUGCUAUUAUUAGUGUCUCACACACUGCUAUAAAAUGAAAAUUCUACCAUACACUCACUACCAGUCUACCACUCUAUAUGGCUUCACUCCCCACCCAAACCAAUGAUCAUUCCAUGUGUAGGAAACUCAUGUAGACACUAGUGUGAACUUAUUUAGAUAUAUGAUCAAAGAGGUUUUGAUCUUAUAUGGUGAAAUCCAUGUACCAUAAGACACAAGAAAAUGAACUAAACAACCCAAAACUAGAUGGACUCUACUAGAACAUUUGGUGAUUAAUCACCAAGACAUCCUACUACCUAUUUAACAUUUCCAUCAACAAGAAAACUCUAAUGUGUACAACAUCAAUGUGAAUAGUAGUAUCAUCCAAGCUAGCCACAUCAUCCCCAUAUUCACCACAACUACCAUUGUAGCCCUCAUGUUUCCCUGGCUCUAGUUGAGAAUGAAAUAAACUAGCUUGGUGGUCCUUGCUUCUACUAACCGCUUCCCCAUCACUGCACUACCCAAAAGCUUAACAUCAGAAGGCAUGAACUUUCGUGAUCCAAGAUUGACAUUUCCCUAGCGAAGCCCAUGGAUCCCUUUCUCCUUUCCCUCCACAAAUGCUACAGUAGAAUACAUAGGAAUAACACUCAGGUAAAAUAAUGUAGAGUGAUGGGAAACUCCAGAAGCUUGACCUCCCUUUUUGAGGGAUGAUAUGGAUCACGUGACUUGCUAGUAGUGUCCCACACACUCCUAUUAAAUGAAAAAUGUCUUGCACACUCACUACCACUCUACAUGGAUUCACUCCCCUCCCAAACCAACGAUCAUUCCCCAUUUGUAGGAAACAUUUGCAUUGUAGAAACUAGUGUGAACUAUUUAGAUGCAUGAUCAUAGAUGUUUUCAUCUACUGGUGAAGAGCCAUGUACCAUAAGACAUAGGAUAAUGAACUAGAACAAAUCAUAACUAGAUGGACUCCUACUAGAAUGUUUGGUGAUUACCAACCAAGACUUCCUACUAAGUAUCUCACAUUUCCAUCAAGAAGAAAACUCCAAAGUACUCCAUCAAUAAUGUGAAAAGUCGGAUCAUCCAAGACUAGUGAUCAACACACAUGGUGACAAGUCAACCAAGCAGUGCAAUGACUACUUAAAAAUGCCUCAUCCGUGUUGGCUCAAAAACCCAUGCUGAUUGUUGUGCUGGCACAAUGAAGCCAACGCGGAUGGGUGGAGCUUUACCGGGCUGGCGUCUAGGGUAAUACAUUAAGGAUGGAAUGAGAUGCAAGGACAAGCAAUACCUUAAGGAUAAGGAAGCUAGGUAAUGAUAUCGCAAUAUCUGGCAGAAGACCGAGCCACUGAGGAGCAUCCACGGCACCUAUCGCUGGAGGACCACCAAUUAGUAACUUAGCCACUGUGGUAUCACCUAUGCUACAGCAUGGGGGUGGGGUAGAUGAGGAGUGGAAUGAAUUAGGUUAGGAGAUGGGCAUCUUACCACAUUUAUUCGCCUCCAUGUUGGGAAGCUGAGCCGCUGGGGCACAAGGCCACACUGGAUGAAGGUUGGAUGGGAGUACCAACAAGGGUAUGUAGGUUUAUUUAUAGGGUCAUCAGGCUAGGUUGUGGGCUAAACUUUGAGCACGCACCUGAUGAAAAAUUUUCCGUGGGCCAAAAAACAUGACCUGACCUAGUUGGGUUGGGAUUGUUUGGGUUCAUUGGUUUGAGCGAUCGAUGAUCAGGCCUGCACAAGGGCUGGAUGAGCUGGUGGUUCAUGAUCAACUCUAAAAUUGAUGUUACUUGCUUUGCAUACUUAGUACAAUAGGCCCACAUGUGAGGUGUUGGAGCCAAGAGUGGCUAUGUGGUAGGGUAGCCAGGAUGACCGCCCUUAGCCCCCAAAUGUCAAGGGCCACCAACUCAUUACAAUUAUCCUUUUGUAUAUCAUAUCUUUGGGCUAGCACCUGUUACUUUAAUCCUAAUAUCCCAAUUUUCAAGCUAGUAAUCAAGCACAUAUCCCUGGAAGCCAUAUACCGACUUUCCUCUUCAAUUCAUUUGGCCUCCAUAUAUAGUACUCAUUGUUCUCAUCAUCUCAUCCCGAAAUGGUGCUACCUACAUCCUACUACUUCAUUCCUCUUGGUUAUCCUAAUUUGUCAAGGAGAUCACUGCCCUUUCCUCCAUUAUCGAGGACGAGGACCUAAUAAUGUUUUGUAUAGUGAGGCCAUAAAAAGUUAAGUUCUAGACUCGAUAUUGGUGUCCACCCAAUUUGGAGUAUACACACGCGUGCAUAUGCAUCUAGUGGAAAAGUGUUUGCCCACAUCACCUAAGACCCUGAAUACCUCCAGAUGAGAGGUGCUAUUCGUACGUGGGCUCUUUUCACGUGGGAGCUAGGCCAUAAGAAAAUUUUGAUGUAGGGGGAUAUAUACUAUUUGGGGAUUGGAUCACAUGGGCCCUUUCUUCUAGCACCACACAAGGACCAUACAGACAAUCUUUGCAACCAUCGUACAAAAUGGUAGAGCCCUAAAGUAUAGUGCCAUCAAUGGCUAGCAUGACCAAAGACUAGGGCUAUGUUGUGCAGGCCCUUCCCAUCUAGGGAAUGGGUUGAGCUCUUCCCUUUGGCAAUUGGCACGACGAAGAUGGUAGGGACUUCGGGGUUGUUGCUCUACAUGAGGCAGUAGCUUCCUCCGGCUACUUUCCAUGCAUGAAGGAGAAAUGGCUAUGGCCCUUCUAGUCCUUUGCAUGACUUCGGCUGGUGAUGCUGGGGCGAAAGGCAUUCAUUCGUAUCUGCUCAUUUGUGCCGGUCAUAUUGAGCUAGCACGAAUAAGUCAUUCAUGC